ACCCGCUGAACUUAAGCAUAUCAAUAAGCGGAGGAAAAGAAACCAACAGGGAUUGCCCUAGUAACGGCGAGUGAAGCGGCAACAGCUCAAAUUUGAAAUCUGGCGUCUUUGGCGUCCGAGUUGUAAUUUGCAGAGGGCGCUUUGGCAUUGGCAGCGGUCCAAGUUCCUUGGAACAGGACGUCACAGAGGGUGAGAAUCUCGUACGUGGUCGCUAGCCUUUACCGUGUAAAGCCCCUUCGACGAGUCGAGUUGUUUGGGAAUGCAGCUCUAAAUGGGAGGUAAAUUUCUUCUAAAGCUAAAUACUGGCCAGAGACCGAUAGCGCACAAGUAGAGUGAUCGAAAGAUGAAAAGCACUUUGGAAAGAGAGUUAAAAAGCACGUGAAAUUGUUGAAAGGGAAGCGCUUGCAGCCAGACUUGCCUGUAGUUGCUCAUCCGGGUUUUUACCCGGUGCACUCUUCUAUAGGCAGGCCAGCAUCAGUUUGGGCGGUUGGAUAAAGGUCUCUGUCAUGUACCUCUCUUCGGGGAGAACUUAUAGGGGAGACGACAUGCAACCAGCCCGGACUGAGGUCCGCGCAUCUGCUAGGAUGCUGGCGUAAUGGCUGU
rnacentral:rRNA from 1 species